GACAGACUGGAUUUCCACUCCUCGUGUUCACAGCGGACUUUAAUUGAUUAAGCGCACAAUUAAGGCACGCGGUGAAUGCCAAGAGAGGAAUCUGCAGCCGCAUU
ensembl:miRNA mir124-2 microRNA mir-124-2